rnacentral:misc_RNA from 1 species
GAUGAAGAACGUAGCGAAAUGCGAUACGUAAUAUGAAUUGCAGAAUUCAGUGAAUCAUCGAGUCUUUGAACGCACAUUGCGCCCCCUGGUAUUCCGGGGGGCAUGCCUGUCCGAGCGUCAUUGCUGCCCUCAAGCACGGCUUGUGUGUUGGGCCUCCGUCCUCCUCCCGGGGGACGGGCCCGAAAGGCAGCGGCGGCACCGCGUCCGGUCCUCGAGCGUAUGGGGCUUCGUCACCCGCUCUUGUAGGCCCGGCCGGCGCUUGCCGACACAUCAAUCUUUUUUCCAGGUUGACCUCGGAUCAGGUAGGGAUACCCGCUGAACUUAAGCAUAUCAAUAAGCGGAGGA